GUUAAGCACCCAGCUGCUAACCAAAAGGGCAGUGGUUCGAACCCACUAGUGGCUCCAGGAGAGAAAAGAUCCCGUGAUCUGCCCCGUCAAGAUUACAGCCUAGGAAACACUAUGGGGCAGUUGUACGCUGCCCUGUAGGGUUGCCAGGAGCUGGGAUUGGCUUGGCGAUGUACAGCAACAACAACAUCUUCACAACUUUUCUAUAAAUCGAAAACUACUCUCAAAUAAAAAAGGUUUGUUUUUUUGUUUUUUGUUAAUUAUCCAUUGCAUGCCAGGUAGUCAGCAGGGUGCUUUUUGCUCAUUAAAGCACAAGUUGCGGUGGAGUCAACUCCAACUUAGUCUGGACUCUGGCCUCUAACUUUUCAGUUACCAGCCUAGUGUGUCAGUAAAAGCAAGAAAGAGAGGCACCCAGUUCACCUGUGGGAUUAGGGAGGAUUUCCUGGAUGAGGUGACACCUGAGUUGAGUCCUACUGAAUGGAAAGGAAUUAUGAGUAGAAUUUGUGGGGUAUCAGGCCAGGAAGAAGAAAGAUCUUAAAUAAAAGCAGUAAGAGGUAAAAUAGCCCCCUGCAAGAGAAAUGGUAAAAGGUCAGAUACUGCCAGGCAGGGAAUGCGUAGAGUUGAGGUUGACAAGGAGGACAAGAGACUCCGUCUUAGAGUGUUGUGUAUAUUCUGCUAGAUGGCUUGGACUUACUUGUAAAUGACAGGGAAGGGAGAAUGCCAUGGUUAGAUCUUAGUUAUAGAUGGAUCACUUUGACACAGUUGGGAUGACAAACAGGAAGUGUCAGGUAAGAUGCAAAAAGGCCAGUUAGUAGGUGAUAGCAAAGGCCCAGGUGAGAGAUACUAGGGCCCUAUUUUAAGCCAGGGCAGUGGCACUUCAGAUUAGGGAAAUUGGUGUGUGUUCAUUUACAGGGUCUGGAGACUGAGCAACAAUAAAACUCUUGCAUUUCUUUUCUUUCCAGAAUGUACAGUCUGAGUCCCAGAUCAAUAAAAGAGAAGGGAGUCAAGAAGAAUAUUCUAAGGACUAGUUUUUAAAUUUGACUGGUGUCUCCUGUGUUAUAAACCUUGGGAGCCUGAGUUUGCCAGAAAAGAACCAAAGAGAAUAGGAAUCUUAACAUUUAUUUAUGUAUCACAGUGGCAGCGUUCAUUUGCAAUAGUAAUUAAAUGCAAUUAUUAUUAUAGUAGAAUGAAUAUGGGAUUUGGAGUCAAGCCAAGCAAGGUUGAAUUCUACUUCCUCUGCUUAGCUGGAUGAUCUUGCUUGAAUCUCUCUGAGCCUUAGUUUCCUCAUCUGUAAAUUGGGAAUAAUACUACUACCUAGCUCUUAUGAUUAUUAUAAGGAUAAGAGUUACUGCAUGAAUGUUCCUGGCAUACAGACAUAUGUCACCUGUUAUCACUAGUUUAAAUUUCUUCAGUUUUAUUGUUUAUUUUCCCAUAAAUUUCACUUAAUCUUUCAGCUAUAUUUUAAGGGCAAAUUUUAACAUUCCUUCUUUACAGAAAGAAACUUAAGUACAGAGAAGUAAAAAGAUUUGACCAAAAUGAAAGAGCUCCUCUAACAGAUUUUGUGACUCCAAAACUAGGAUUUUCUCCACUACAUUUCAAUCAGACAGAGAUAAGUUAAAUAUGAAGCCAGUCCUUGGCCAAUUACCUUUUUCAUUCAUUUAACAGAUACUUAUUUGAAAUGCUAUUCUUUGGCAAACACCAUUGUAUACGAUCAAGAUAUAGCAGCAACCACAUAGACAAAAUUCCUGCCUCAUGGACUUGACAUCCUAAUUGAAGAGACAUACAAACAAAUAAAUAUAAGACAUAAUGUCAAGGAUUGGAAUCCCUGGAUGGUACGAAUCAUUAAGCACUGGACUGCUGACCAAAACGCUGGCAGGUCAAACCCACCCAAAGGCACCUCUGAACUGAACCACUUCGCCCUAACCCCCCCAGGCUGAGCCCAGUGAUGUUCCGUGGAAAGGCCUAUAGGAAAUUCAGUGGCUACAUGGGAAAUCUAGUUGAAGGGCCUCGCAUACAAGAGGGCAAUUCUACAGAGCCGGGUGUGGUCACCAAUCAGGGCAGCUGGGGAAUGGGUACUCCAGCUCAGCAGAGAGGUUCCACCUUGGCAGCAACAGCUCCUCCUACA